GACGAACGCUGGCGGCGUGCCUAAUACAUGCAAGUCGAACGCAUUUUCUUUCACCGUAGCUUGCUACACCGACAGAAAAUGAGUGGCGAACGGGUGAGUAACACGUGGGUAACCUGCCCAUCAGCGGGGGAUAACACUUGGAAACAGGUGCUAAUACCGCAUAAUUCCAUUUACUGCAUGGUAGAUGGAUGAAAGGCGCUUUUGCGUCACUGAUGGAUGUACCUGCGGUGCAUUAGCUGGUUGGUGGGGUAACGGCCUACCAAGGCUGCGAUGCAUAGCCGACCUGAGAGGGUGAUCGGCCACACUGGGACUGAGACACGGCCCAGACUCCUACGGGAGGCAGCAGUAGGGAAUCUUCGGCAAUGGACGCAAGUCUGACCGAGCAACGCCGCGUGAGGGAAGAAGGUUUUCGGAUCGUAAAACUCUGUUGUUAGAAAAGAACAAGGAUGAGAGUGGAAAGUUCAUCCCUUGACGGUAUCUAACCAGAAAGCCACGGCUAACUACGUG
rnacentral:rRNA from 1 species